GACGUAGGGCGCGAGCGUUGUCCGGAUUUAUUGGGCGUAAAGAGCUCGUAGGCGGCUUGUCACGUCGGGUGUGAAAGCUCGGGGCUUAACCCCGGGUCUGCAUUCGAUACGGGCUGGCUGGAGUGUGGUAGGGGAGAUCGGAAUUCCUGGUGUAGCGGUGAAAUGCGCAGAUAUCAGGAAGAACACCCGUGGCGAAGGCGGCUCUCUGGAACGCAACUGACGCUGAGACGCGAAAGCGUGGGGAGCAAACAGG
rnacentral:rRNA from 1 species